AAAGGGCAUUGCUCAGAUGAAUCCUGUGAAUUUGUGCCAGCUGCUUGUGACUAGCAGCAGCCUCUUGACUCUGGUGAGAAAAGGACUUCUCUCUUUGACCUCUUCCCCAGCCAGCCAUCAGCUCCACCCCAGAAAAAGCCUGCCUGGGUUCCUGAUCU
rnacentral:lncRNA from 1 species